AUUGAACGCUGGCGGCAGGCCUAACACAUGCAAGUCGAACGAGUGGCGGACGGGUGAGUAAUGUCUGGGAAACUGCCUGAUGGAGGGGGAUAACUACUGGAAACGGUAGCUAAUACCACAUACCAUCAGAUGUGCCCAGAUGGGAUUAGCUAGUUGGUGGGGGAACGGCUCACCAAGGCGACGAUCCCUAGCUGGUCUGAGAGGAUGACCAGCCACACUGGAACUGAGACACGGGCCAGACUCCUACGGGAGGCAGCAGUGGGGAAUAUUGCACAAUGGGCGCAAGCCUGAUGCAGCCAUGCCGCGUGUGUGAAGAAGGCCUUCGGGUUGUAAAGCACGUUCAGCGGGGAGGCGUUACCCGAAGAAGAAGCACCGGCUAACUCCGUGCCAGCAGCCGCGGUAAUUC
rnacentral:rRNA from 1 species